rnacentral:rRNA from 1 species
UACGUAGGGUGCGAGCGUUGUCCGGAAUUAUUGGGCGUAAAGGGCUCGCAGGCGGUCUGUCGCGUCGGGAGUGAAAACUCAGGGCUUAACCCUGAGCCUGCUUCCGAUACGGGCAGACUAGAGGUAUGCAGGGGAGAACGGAAUUCCUGGUGUAGCGGUGAAAUGCGUAGAUAUCAGGAGGAACACCGGUGGCGAAGGCGGUUCUCUGGGCAUUACCUGACGCUGAGGAGCGAAAGUGUGGGGAGCGAACAGG